rnacentral:rRNA from 1 species
CGGACAGUGUCUGGUGGGUAGUUUGACUGGGGCGGUCUCCUCCUAAAGAGUAACGGAGGAGCACGAAGGUUGGCUAAUCCUGGUCGGACAUCAGGAGGUUAGUGCAAUGGCAUAAGCCAGCUUGACUGCGAGCGUGACGGCGCGAGCAGGUGCGAAAGCAGGUCAUAGUGAUCCGGUGGUUCUGAAUGGAAGGGCCAUCGCUCAACGGAUAAAAGGUACUCCGGGGAUAACAGGCUGAUACCGCCCAAGAGUUCAUAUCGACGGCGGUGUUUGGCACCUCGAUGUCGGCUCAUCACAUCCUGGGGCUGAAGUAGGUCCCAAGGGUAUGGCUGUUCGCCAUUUAAAGUGGUACGCGAGCUGGGUUUAGAACGUCGUGAGACAGUUCGGUCCCUAUCUGCCGUGGGCGCUGGAGAAUUGAGGGGGGCUGCUCCUAGUACGAGAGGACCGGAGUGGACGCAUCACUGGUGUUCGGAUUGUCAUGCCAAUGGCACUGCCCGGUAGCUAAAUGCGGAAGAGAUAAGUGCUGAAAGCAUCUAAGCACGAAACUUGCCCCGAGAUGAGUUCUCCCUGACUCCUUGAGAGUCCUGAAGGAUCGUUGAAGACGACGACGUUGAUAGGCCGGAUGUGUAAGCGCAGCGAUGCGUUGAGCUAACCGGUACUAAUGAACCGUGAGGCUUAACCUUACAACGCCGAAGCUGUU